UACAGAGGGGGCAAGCGUUAUUCGGAAUUAUUGGGCGUAAAGGGCGCGUAGGCGGCGCGGUAAGUCGGGUGUGAAAUCUCGGAGCUUAACUCCGAAACUGCAUUCGAUACUGCCGUGCUUGAGGACUGGAGAGGAGACUGGAAUUUACGGUGUAGCGGUGAAAUGCGUAGAUAUCGUAAGGAAGACCAGUGGCGAAGGCGGCACUCUGGGCCGUGACUGACGCUGAGGAGCGAAAGCGUGGGGAGCAAACAGG
rnacentral:rRNA from 1 species